rnacentral:rRNA from 1 species
GUUUGAUCAUGGCUCAGAACGUACGCUGGCGGCACGCCUAACACAUGCAAGUCGAACGAAGUAGCAAUACUUAGUGGCAGACGGGUGAGUAACAUGUGGGUAUCUACCCUUUGGCCUGGAAUAACACGAGGAAACUUGUGCUAAUACCGGAUAAGUCUUUACGGAGAAAGCUUUAUGCACCAUUGGAUGAGCCCGCACUUGAUUAGUUUGUUGGUAGGGUAAUGGCCUACCAAGACUAUGAUCAAUAGCUGAUUUGAGAGGAUGAUCAGCCACAUUGGGACUGAGACACGGCCCAAACUCCUACGGGAGGCAGCAGUGGGGAAUCUUGCACAAUGGAGGAAACUCUGAUGCAGCGAUGCCGCGUGAGUGAAGAAGGCCUUUGGGUUGUAAAGCUCUUUCGUCGGGGAAGAAAAUGACUGUACCCGAAUAAGAAGGUCCGGCUAACUUCGUGCCAGCAGCCGCGGUAAUACGAAGGGACCUAGCGUAGUUCGGAAUUACUGGGCUUAAAGAGUUCGUAGGUGGUUGAAAAAGUUGGUGGUGAAAUCCCAGAGCUUAACUCUGGAACUGCCAUCAAAACUUUUCAGCUAGAGUAUGAUAGAGGAAAGCAGAAUUUCUAGUGUAGAGGUGAAAUUCGUAGAUAUUAGAAAGAAUACCAAUUGCGAAGGCAGCUUUCUGGAUCAUUACUGACACUGAGGAACGAAAGCAUGGGUAGCGAAGAGGAUUAGAUACCCUCGUAGUCCAUGCCGUAAACGAUGUGUGUUAGACGUUGGAAAUUUAUUUUCAGUGUCGCAGGGAAACCGAUAAACACACCGCCUGGGGAGUACGACCGCAAGGUUAAAACUCAAAUGAAUUGACGGGGACCCGAGAUCGGAAGAGCACACGUCUGAACUCCAGUCACCAGUACUAUCUCGU